rnacentral:rRNA from 1 species
GAUGAACGCGAGCGGGAGGCCUAACACAUGCAAGCCGAGCGGUAUUGUUUCUUCGGAAAUGAGAGAGCGGCGUACGGGUGCGGAACACGUGUGCAACCUGCCUUUAUCUGGGGGAUAGCCUUUCGAAAGGAAGAUUAAUACUCCAUAACAUAUUGAACGGCAUCGUUUGAUAUUGAAAGCUCCGGCGGAUAGAGAUGGGCACGCGCAAGAUUAGCUAGUUGGUGAGGUAACGGCUCACCAAGGCGAUGAUCUUUAGGGGGCCUGAGAGGGUGAUCCCCCACACUGGUACUGAGACACGGACCAGACUCCUACGGGAGGCAGCAGUGAGGAAUAUUGGUCAAUGGGUGCAAGCCUGAACCAGCCAUCCCGCGUGAAGGACGACUGCCCUAUGGGUUGUAUACUUCUUUUGUAUAGGGAUAAACCUACCCUCGUGAGGGUAGCUGAAGGUACUAUACGAAUAAGCACCGGCUAACUCCGUGCCAGCCGCCGCAGUAAUAC